UAAGAGUUACACCUUACCCUAACUAUUAUUAUUUAGCUAAGCAUAAUUGAAAUAAAAAUAAUUAUUAAAAUUAAAUUACUCAUAAUUAAAAGUAAUAAAACAACUAAAAUUGAAAAUAAAACUAAAUUUAUUUAUAAAAAUAAUUAUACAAAAUAUUAAAAACAUACCUGAAAAACAAGAUUACGGGGAAAUUGAGAGAAAUUGAGAAGAAGAGAGAUAAUCAAAACAUAAAAAUGAGACUCUACCUAUAGAAAAAUAAAUUCAUAAUCCAGUGUAUUGCGAUCCAUCAUAAGUUUUGUGCAUGCACUCUACACAACCAUUAGAUCAAGAUCCAACGGUUGGUCAAACUUCAAAAGUCAACAUUACAUGUGGCAUCUUGUGAAGCGUCCGAUUUGGUCAAAGAACGGUUGAGAUUUGACAGGUUAAUGGGUGAAUUGGGUCUACCCGAAUACAAAGGUUCGGAUUCUACAACUUACUUCACCAACCAUUGCAACGUGGCACGAUCGUGGCAUUGAAUCAUGAAUGGUUGAGAUUUAGCAAGCUCAUUUUAUCAUGAAUCUAUUGUAAGCUCAUUUUAUCAUCCAAUCAGUAUUUAGUCAAUAGAAAAAGUCAACUUUGUACACAAACUCAAUUUUAAACCGGUCUUGACUCAUUUUAAGGUUUUCGGACCUUUGGAAUCUAAAUUUGAUAUCCGUUUAUCUGUUUGGAACCUUGAAUUACAUGAAAUUAAUAUUUUACCUAAUAAACACACAAAAAUACACAAAAUUAGAUGUAGUUAAAACAUAAUUAAUAAUUCUUAAUAUAUUGCAUAAAUACAAAUAUAUAUUAUAAUAUAAGCACAAAAUAAUAUUUUUAUCACUUGAUAAUCAAACAGUUUUUAAUACUAAUCAAAAGACAUAUUGGAUGCAUCACUUCCUCCAAAAUUUAAAAUGCCCCAGAUAAAGUUAUACAAAGGAGAAAGAGAUCCAACAGCACAUCCUGAGACCUACAGGUCUUGGAUGGAGCUACAAGGAGCAUCAAAAGUAGCCAUGUGGGGCAUUCUCGCUGACACUCAUUAAAGCAGCACAUAGGUGGUUCAAAAAGCUAAAACCAAGAUCAAUUUCUUCAUUUGCCUAGCUAAGUCAAAUAUUUAUUACCCAAUUUAUUAGAGCUAGAGACCAUCAACUUCCUUCAACUCAUCUUUUGUCGGUCAAGUAAGGGAAGGAUGAGUAGUUAAAAGAUUACAUUACCUACCUCAACAAAGAAGCUAUAAGGGUGGAAAACUAUAGUGAUUUAGUGGCCUUGACAGUCAUUAUGGCCGUGUUACAACUAGCAAGGUUUUAUUAUUCACUUAUAAAAAAUGCACCAAGAACUUGCAUGGAGUUGCUGUCGAGAGCACAAAAAUACUCUAAGGUAGAUGAAUUAACUAAUGCAAAAAGGAAGGUUGACCUGGAUUCACAAAGAGUAAGAGGAAGAAGAAUGAAGAACUAGUUGAAAACAAAGAAAUAAUAAGUAGACCAUAAAACAAAGGUCCAAGGAUUCCGUACACUAGGUUCCCUUGCUAUACACCACUUAAUGUGGCCAGAAAGCAGUUGUCGAUACAAAUAAGGAACUCAUAUUUGCUGCAGAAAUUCAAGGAUAUCAAGACAACACUUAAUCGAAGGGACAAAAAAAAAUAAAUACUAUAGGUACCAUUGAGAUCAUGGUCACAACACUAAAGAUUGUUUCGAUUCCAAAGAAAAAAUAGAAUCCCUUAUCCAUAGAGGAUAUCUUAAAGAAUUUGUAAGAAAAUGUGCUAAAUGGAUGCCUAAUGAGGUCCCAUCCAAUGCUCCACAAAAAAACAACAACAUCUGGAAUUGUGCGAAUAAAAGACCAAGACAUCGUAGGUGGCAUACCCAUAAGAACUAUAUUAAGUAGACCCACAGGUAGAAGAGAUUCUAAUAGGACUCAAAAAGCUCAUGUUAAAGAGACUAGAAGUACACCGAGGGUUUUCCUUGUAGAUUUAAUGAGUAGACCUAAAAAAAAGCCAAGCGGAAAGAGGAAUACAUCAGCCCCAGAAUGAUGCCCUAGUCAUCUCUAUAAUCUUGGCGAAUAAGAAGGUCUAUAGAGUUCUAAUAGACAAUGGAAGUUCAACAAAUAUUCUGUAUGUAGUAGCAUUUGAUAAAAUAGAGAUUGGAAGAGAAAAAUUAAAGCCAAUAUGCACACCUUUGAUUGGUUUUGGAGGAGAAUGUUUGAUCCCUUUGGGUAGUAUAAGUUGCCAAUGACUAUUUGGGAAACUACCCCACCAAGUUACUAAUAUAGUGAAUUUCUUAGUAGUGGAGCAUUUGUCAAUUUACAAUGUCAUCUUAGGAGGACCGGCUUUAAACAUGUUUCGAACAAUAACUUUAACCUAUCAUUUAAUGAUAGAGUUUCCUAUAGUAGGAGCAUUUGAUAAAAAUAGAGAUUGGAAGAGAAAAAAUAAAGCCAAUAUGCACACCUUUGAUUGGUUUUGGAGGAGAAUGUUUGAUCCCUUUGGGUAGUAUAAGUUGCCAAUGACUAUUUGGGAAACUACCCCACCAAGUUACUAAGAUAAUGAAUUUCUUGGUAGUGGAGCAUUUGUCAAUUUACAAUGUCAUCUUAGGAGGACCGGCUUUAAACAUGUUUCGAACAAUAACUUUAACCUAUCAUUUAAUGAUAGAGUUUCCUAUAGUAGGAGGAUUUGUAGUUUUAAGAGCUAAUCAAGAAGAAUCCAAAAGAUGCUACACUACAACUUUAAAAGGCAAGAUGGACAAACAUGAAAACCUACAGAUUAUGCUUGACCUAAGGAAAGAAAAAAGUGAGUAAAGAGGCUCACCGAUAGAAGAAUUAGACUUUGUCCAUUGUAGUAAGGAGAUUAAAGUAAGUCUACUCGAGUUGGCCAAUCGCUAACUUCAGAAUUACAUGCACAAAUAAAAAAUUUUCUCAGAGUCAACUCUGACAUGUUCUUAUAGUCCCAUGAAGACAUCGUGGUAUAGAUCUUGAAGUAAUAGCCCAUCAACUAAAUGUUAAUCCUGGUUACAAACUAGUGGGACAAAAAAUGAGGUCCUUUAAUAAAGAAAUAUAUGAAGCAAUUGCAGAGGAAGUUGAUAAACUGCUAAAAGUAUGAUUUAUUAGAGAAGUGCAUUACCUUAACUGGUUAGCCAACAUAGUGAUGGUAAAAAAACCAAAUGGAAAAUGAAGGAUUUGCAUAGAUUUUACUGACUUGAACAAAGCGUGCCCCAAAGACAGUUUUUCUCUACCCAGGAUCGAUUAGUUAGUUGAUGCAACCGGAAGACAUGAAUUACUCACAUUUGUGUAUGCAUACUUAGGUUAUAACCAUAUUCAGAUGCACCCUCCAAAGAGGAGGAAAACAACAUUCAUUACAAAUAAAAGGCUUGUAUUAUUAUAAUGUAAUGCCUUUUGGGUUAAAAAAAUACUAGAGCAACCUAUCAAAGACUAGUCAACAAAUAUUUACUAGAUAAAUUGGAAGAAAUAUUGAAGUUUAUGUAGAUGACAUGCUUGUUAACAGCAAGAAAAUGGAAGAUCACGUCACGGACUUGGAAGAAGCCUUCAAAAUCCUGAAACAUUUUAAUAUAAAAUUAAAUCCAAGUAAAUGUACUUUUGAAGUAUCCUCGGGAAAGUUCUUGGGAUUCAUGGUUAGUCAACGAGAAAUAGAAGCUAAUUUAGAGAAUAUUCAAGCUUUGUUGGAUUUGGAAUCACCAAAGACAAUAAAUGAGGUUCAAAGACUGACAAUGAGAGUUGUUGUCUUGAGUCGCUUCAUUUCAUGAGCAAUAGAUAAAUGCUUGCCAUUCUUUAAAACUCUCUAAGGGGGAAAAAUCUAGUGUGGACAGAUGAAUGUAAGAAAAAGUUUCAUGAAUUGAAAAAGUACAAGGGCAGUCCUCCAAUUCUUUCUAAACCAGUGUCAGGGGAGAAUCUUUAUAUCUAUCUUGCUGUGUCAGACUCAAUAGUGAGCUCAUUAUUAAUAAGAGAGGAGAAUAUGUGCAAAAACCCAUUUGCUACGUGAGCCAUGCACUGCUAGAUGCUAAAAUGAAAUAUUCGAUGAUAGAAAAGAUGGCCUUAGUAUUGGUAAUCUCUACUAGGAAAUUAAGGCCUUACUUUCAAGCCCACGUCAUAGUUAACUAUGGCCAAUAGGUCGUGCCGGCAACUGCCGUCCCACAAGGGCUCGUGGGCCGGUACGACACGGCCCACCAACCCACUUGUGCCGUGGGCCGUGCCCAAAAAAAGUCCACCAACUUUUGUUUUAGCAUGCCUAAAAAAGCCUACGUGCCUGGCGUGCUUUUUUAAGCCCACCAAUAAUAAUAAUAAUAAUAAUAAUAAUAAAUUCAUAAUCAUAAUCAUAUUAAUUUUUAUUAAGAGAGCAAUUAACAUUUUAUUAUUAGUUUAUCACAAUUUCACAAUUAUAUAUUAUAUUUCACAAUAACCAAUCAUAACACAAUAAUACAUAAAUUUAAUUCCAUAGAUCAUAAUAAUAAUUAAUUAAAAUUAAAAAUACAAUCCUCGAAUAAUAGUUACAAUAAGUCAUAACUACGAAAUAUCAAUAUAACAAAUCAUAGGUCACAACUUACAAGUUACAACUACGAAACACGAACUACGACAAAUUGACAAAUAACAAGCACGAAAAAACAUUUAUUAAUCACAACUAUGGAUAUGGGAAACGAGCAAGGUUAAUUCUAUCUAGGCUAAGGUGGCGAGCUAAACAAUUUGACACGUGCCGACGUAAACCCAAGGUGCCAUGGCUGUCUGAAUAAAUAACUUCUUGAUGACAAUAGUUGCACCUCAAGAUCAUCUGUUUGUAAGGACGAUGCAAACUAUUAUCUAUUAUUUCCUCCUUUAUUGUAGUAAAUUUUUGAAAAAGCUCAUUUAAAGAAUGACUUCUGGACUGAUUUAGCCUAGCGUUUUGUUGAGGUCCAACUACAUCAACACCGUAUUCUUGAGGGUGUUGAGGUUCUUCUGCAUUCAUAUUAUGUUGCUGCGGAUUCAUAAUGAUUUUGGCUUUUAGAAUAUUGGAAAGUUUGAGAGGAACAAGAAGAAGAAUAAGAAUUGUGAAGCAUCAUAACAUAAUGGCGUGUAUAUAUAAUAUUAGAUAGUAAUAAAAAGAGA
rnacentral:lncRNA from 1 species